rnacentral:rRNA from 1 species
UACGAAGGGGGCGAGCGUUAUUCGGAAUCACUGGGCGUAAAGCGUGCGUAGCCGGUUUCGUAAGUCGGGUGUGAAAUCCCCGGGCUCAACCUGGGAAUGGCGAUGAAGACUGCAAGGCUAGAAUCUGGCAGAGGGGGGUAGAAUUCCACGUGUAGCAGUGAAAUGCGUAGAGAUGUGGAGGAACACCGAUGGCGAAGGCAGCCCCCUGGGUCAAGAUUGACGCUCAUGCACGAAAGCGUGGGGAGCAAACAGG